GCCCUGGUGGCGGAAUAGGUAGACGCUACAGACUUAAAAUCUGUUGCCAGUAAUGGCGUGCCGGUUCAAGUCCGGCCCAGGGCACCA
rnacentral:tRNA from 1 species